GACGAACGCUGGCGGCGCGCCUAACACAUGCAAGUCGAGCGGAGAUAUACGAAGAGUAAUCCGAGUAUAUCUUAGCGGCGGACGGGUGAGUAACGCGUGAGUGACCUGCCUCUUACAGGGGAAUAACGUGCCGAAAGGCACACUAAUACCGCAUAAGACCACGAAACCGCAUGGUUAUGAGGUCAAAGGAGCAAUCCGGUAAGAGAUGGGCUCGCGUCCGAUUAGAUAGUUGGUGAGGUAACGGCCCACCAAGUCGACGAUCGGUAGCCGACCUGAGAGGGUGAUCGGCCACAUUGGAACUGAGAGACGGUCCAAACUCCUACGGGAGGCAGCAGUGGGGAAUAUUGGGCAAUGGGGGAAACCCUGACCCAGCGACGCCGCGUGAGGGAAGAAGGUUUUCGGAUUGUAAACCUCUGUUCUUGGUGAAGAGGGGAAGACGGUAGCCAAGGAGGAAGCCCCGGUAACUACGUGCCAGCAGCCGCGGUAUACGUAGCGUGU
rnacentral:rRNA from 1 species